rnacentral:rRNA from 1 species
AUUGAACGCUGGCGGCAUGCUUUACACAUGCAAGUCGAACGGCAGCGCGGGCUUCGGCCUGGCGGCGAGUGGCGAACGGGUGAGUAAUACAUCGGAACGUGCCCAGUAGUGGGGGAUAGCUCGGCGAAAGCCGGAUUAAUACCGCAUACGACCUGAGGGUGAAAGCGGGGGAUCUUCGGACCUUGCGCUAUUGGAGCGGCCGAUGGGGGAUUAGCUAGUUGGUGGGGUAAAGGCCUACCAAGGCGACGAUCUGUAGCUGGUCUGAGAGGACGACCAGCCACACUGGAACUGAGACACGGCCCAGACUCCUACGGGAGGCAGCAGUGGGGAAUUUUGGACAAUGGGCGAAAGCCUGAUCCAGCAAUGCCGCGUGUGUGAUGAAGGCCUUCGGGUUGUAAAGCACUUUUGGCGGGAACGAAAAGGACUGUGCCAAUACCACGGUUCGAUGACGGUACCCGCAGAAUAAGCACCGGCUAACUACGUG